GUGAGGAAUAUUGGUCAAUGGGCGAGAGCCUGAACCAGCCAAGUAGCGUGAGGGAUGACUGCCCUAUGGGUUGUAAACCUCUUUUGCAGGGGGGUAAAGUGGUUCACGUGUGGACCAUUGCAAGUACCCUGCGAAUAAGGAUCGGCUAACUCCGCGCCAGCAGCCGCGGUAAUACGGAGGAUCCGAGCGUUAUCCGGAUUUAUUGGGUUUAAAGGGAGCGUAGGCGGGGGUUUAAGUCAGCUGUGAAAUGCCGUGGCCCAACCAUGGAACUGCAGUUGAAACUGGACCUCUUGAGAGUACAUAAGGAAGGCGGAAUUCGUGGUGUAGCGGUGAAAUGCAUAGAUAUCACGAAGAACUCCGAUUGCGAAGGCAGCUUUCCGGGGUACAUCUGACGCUGAAGCUCGAAAGUGCGGGAAUCAAACAGGAUUAGAUACCCGAGUAGUCC
rnacentral:rRNA from 1 species